UCCCCGAUAGCUCAACGGCCAGAGCGUCGGACAUGUAAUUCGGAGGUUGUGGGUUCGAACCCCGCUUAGGGAG